GUGCCUCCAGCUGGUAGCUGGGAAGAGCUGCAGGAUGGAGGCGCCGCUCAGCAGAGCACCACCACCCGCAGAAGCAGCAGCAGCAGCAGCAGCUGCACGCUCCACACUGCUCGGCGUCUCGCCGGCCGAGCGGUAGGGGGAGCUCAUCUGCCCGCUGUGUGUAGUCAGAAGCCAGUCAACUGCAAUGAUCAGAGUAACGUCUUCAGCUGGCAGGCCGACAGCGCUCAGAACAAUCACCAUGGUGACAAGUCCAGCUUGGGGGACACCAGCAGCUCCAAUGCUGGCUGCUGUUGCUGUGACACUAAAUCCCAAAUAAAGCCAGGAAAAGGCAUUCAGAAAACUUCAGCGUGCUGAAAUGGAGAGAAAACCCAUGAAAGGGAGAGAUCUGCUAAGUUACUUUCACAGUGAAACAGGCAAGUACGAGAAGAGAACUAUAGUAAAAUGGCAUAAUGUGCUUGCAUGUAGGAUCAAAAUCUGGAAAGGACUGAGUGUGUUUAUGAUGCUCAUCUUGUAAUUGUGAUCUGCUCAACAACUACUGUAAAGACACAUGCUUUGUUAAUUGCUAUGAAAUCCAAUGAAAUACUAUCAGAUGAGUUGCUGCACUUUUUUUUCCUCUCUGAGAACAUUAUGUGAGAAUAUUUUGAGAAUGUUAUCUCACAAAGCCUAUUAGCACAAGAUAAAUGAUGCCAAAUUGCAUCUUGCAUGUCACUGCAGAUUUUGCUCAGUUGUGUGGCUUGUACAUUAAUUUAUAUUUCUAAAUGAACUUAACUCCAAGGACAGCUACCCUGUGAACACAAUAGGAAAUAGUGUUCAAGACUGAGGAGGCCAUGUGGGUGCUGAUGCUUUUACAGUCCUCCAAUCAUCAGCACAGUUGCACAGUCUUGAUAUGAGCUUCCAGUAAGAAUGUCUGAAAAACUUGUGUAACAGUGGAACUGUUCUUUCAGCAGAUAGUAAGUGGGAGCCUUGUCUCUAGUUUCCUGAAACGGACCAAAAUAUGUAGAAUGAAACUGCUUACCAGCCUUCCUUUAAAGCUGCUUGCUGAAAAGCACAUACACAAAAGCAAACAUGAAGUAUAAGUCCGUACCUAUAUUUUCACUUAAUGACAAAAUUCACUUAAAGAAGUUGUUAGAAAAUGCCAGUAUGUCCUUGGACUUACCAC